GACACGUGGUGCCUUCAGGCUCUGGGGCCUAGGACCUUUGUGGUAGCAGAGUCACUGCAGAGAACCAGACAAUACCAGGUUGCUUAUAAAAGGAUGCCAUGUGCUUGCUGGAGGUCCCAGGUGCAACCAAAUUGCUUGCAGCUAGGAGGACCUUGAAGAGAAAUGGGAUCAGCCCGCCAAACCAAGAAGGGUUAGCACUUUUGCUAGGAGAGCUGACCACGCACAAACAGAUGAGAACCAAAACCGAGUGAAGAGGAUUGAAGAUGAACCCACAUUUUAAAAGUUCUUGUCUGCUGGAGGUGGCAUUACCUGUGACCUCGCUUCACUUCUCCAUACAUGGCUGUUAUAGCAGAAAAUCCAGCUUUCUGAAGCAUAUUUCACGACAUAUGAUGAGACUUAUGUGAUGUGAGACCUGAGAAAACUAUGAUAGAAAGAAGCAACUCAAGUUGCAAGGAUAUUCCUCAUGUAUCAUGCAAGGAUAUUCCUCAUAUAUCAUAGACUAAGGUGUCAGUAUGUUCUUCAAGCUGCUCUGCUCCUGGGCCCAAGCUAUUCUCCUGCCUCAGCCUUCCAAGAAGCUGAAACUACAAGAACACAAGACUGUACCUGGCUUGCAAACACCAUUGCUAAUAAGAAGAUAUUGUAAGACUGAUACCUAAGAGAUAAGAGACAUGGAUCCCUGAGGUCGGUCCCCAAUACGACAAGACAAUUUGAUAUCAUAAUAGAACACUGCAGAAACAAUGCUGAGUGAAGAAGAGUAGAAAUGGGAAGACUUGGUUGAGCGGAAACUGAGUUCUUGAAAAGAGGAGAUGCUUGAUGAGGGCAUGGAUCCCUGAGGUCUGCCCCAGUACUAUAAGACAAUUUGAUGUAAGAAAACACAGCAGAUAUAAUACUGAGUGAAGAAGAGUAUAAAUGAGAAGAUUGGUUGUGCAGAUACUGAGUUCAUGAAAAGAGGAGAUGAUUGAUGAGGCCAGGUGCGGUGACUCAUGCCUGUAAUCCCUGCACUUUGGGAGGCUGCGGCGGGCGGAUCACCUGAGGUCAGGAGUUCGAGACCAGCCUGGGAGACAGAGCAUGGAAACCUAAGGUCUGUACCCAAAACUACAGGACUAUUUGACAUCAUAAUAAAACACUGCAGAUAUGAUGCUGAGUAAGAGUAGAAAUGGGAAGACUUGGUUGUGCAGUAACUGAGUUCUUGAAAAGAGGAGAUGCUUGAUGAGGGCAUGGAUCACUAAGGUCUGUUCCCAAUACAAGAAGACUCUUUGACAUCAUAAUAAAAUACUGCAGAUACGAUGCUGAGUGAAAAAGAGUAGAAAUGGGAAGACUUGGUUGUGCAGAAACUGAGUUCUUAAAGAGAGGAGAUACUUUAUGAGGGCUGGAGUGCACUGGAGCAAUCCUGGCUGGCCAAUACUGAGUUCUUGAAAACAGGAGAUGCUUGAUGAGGUUGCAGGGCUUUGACUCCUGGGUACAUGUAUCUCAUCUGAAAGGGAAUCCUGACGCCUACUGAAUCUUAAUAGUCAAUAUUGAUAUCUGGCAUCAAAUUCAAGUUGACCAAAGUUCCAUCUUCAGACCUGGGAGAAGAUGACAGUCAAAAUGAACUGCUUUCAUGUGACACUGGACCAGGCCUAUAUACAAAGGCAUAAGUAAUCAUUGAAUAAUGUUUCAUCUAUCUAUCUUAAUAUAAUUUGUUCUAUGCCUUACUAGAUAAAUGUUUAGUUACCUGUGAGUUUUCUUUUCCUGCCAUUGUCAGAGCUAGGCAGGGCUUAAGUCCCUUUCGUUUAAACAUUACUAACUCUAUACAUAGCUUGCAAAAUUGGAUAAAACAACAAAGGUUACUUUUUCACUCUCUCUCUGCUUAAUAUCUCUGAAAUUUAAAACUAUUCAGAAUCCCACUGGGCCCGAUCUAUUUUCAAUGCUAAUGCUCCACUGCUAAAACUAUAUAAGCAUCUUCCCUCUAGGCUCAGGCACUAUCUUGGAAGAGGUAAAUGUGUAAGAUUGUAAAGGUUGAUUUUUGAGCAACAAAAUUAAUUUAGAUCUUCCAAAUAAAAAAUGGGCACACAGAUGCCCAAACAGUUGGCAAAAUAAGAUACUUUACCUCCUGGACCAGUAUGUGGACCUUUUUCAUCCAUCCCAACCAUAAUUUCCUCUUUCCUGUAGAAUUAAAAGAAAAUUGCAAAGAGGAUAUGAACUUUUCUGGUAAGAAAACCUCCUGGGUAUAGUGCUCCCAGUUAUGAGAUUUAUGCAGAUUGUUAUAUAAAGUUUUUUUAAAUCAAGCACCUUAGGACAAACUAUUAAAAAGACUGCUAAAAGCGUUGUGACACAACAAAAGUCUCUAAAUUCUGUAGCUUAAAAAGUUUUAACAAAGUACUUAUCUUUUGCAAGCUAAUUGCUACAAGUCUAUAACUAAAACAUGUAUUGACUGAUGUCUUAGGUCUCCCUAAAAUAUAUAAAACCAAGUUGUAAACCAAUCACCUUGGACACAUGUUCUCAGGACCUCUGGAGACUGUGCCUUGGGCCAUGGUCACUCAUAUUUGGCUG
rnacentral:lncRNA from 1 species